AACACAAGAUGUGAGAAUUGGUCAAGAAAUAUGCAGAAAUCUUUGGGUCUUGUUGGUCCCAUUUUGACCUGUUGCGUGCUGCUCUAUUUUGUACUCUGGAUUAAUCUUCAUGAAAAGUGGACUGGAAUCAAAGGAAUAGUAGUGAGUUCUGGAAUUCUUUGGGAAGCAACUCACAAGCCCACAGAUGAUCAUACACUAAUUAAUAAAACUAACAUCACUUCUGCAUUGGAUUUAUCAUCAUUUAGAACUACAAGUUUCUACAAAGAAGAAAACACUUCUUACUCCAAUGAGCUUGAAGCAAAUAUAACCCCUAUUCCAGUUCUAUAUAAGAAAAAUUUUAAGAAACUUCCUGAGUGGGAAUUUGAGGAUGUGUAUUUGCAAGACCAUCAAACAAGAAUUACAACCUGUCUAAAGUCCCUACACAACACUAAGGAUCCCAAGUUCCAGAAAGUUGUCCUUCCCAACAUUCAACUAUGGCUGUACAGAGGUCAACUUAGUGUAACAGAAUGGAAUCGUCUGGCACACUUCAACAAUCCUUUUGGCUUCAUGGAGUACAAUUACAAUGAGAUAAAAUUAGGAGUUGAUUUGAUACCAAAGCCUAAGUCUUCAAUAUUACUGCCGGUUCCUGGAAGUGCAAAGGAUGGCUGUAUCCGCUGUGCUGUUGUGGGUUCUGGUGGCAUUCUCAAUAACUCAAGGAUGGGCAAAGAGAUUGACUCCCAUGAUUAUGUUUUUCGAGUGAAUGGGGCACUAACAAAAGGAUUUGAGAAGGAUGUUGGAAGUAAAACCUCUGUCUAUGUGCAUACUGCUUAUUCCUUAUAUGCCAGCCUUCAAAUAUUUAAACAAUAUGGCUAUGACAGAAUUCCACAAGAUAAGGGCAUCAAAUACGUCAUGAUCCCUGAAGGCCUGAGAGACUUCCAGUGGCUCCAAGGUCUACUACAGGGAAAAGAAGCCACAGGGUCCUUUAAGGGUGUGAGAGCUAGAAAGUCAGAGACUUGGAAGUAUAUCCAGAUGGAUGUUCAAGUCACCAAAGAAAAUCCAUCAGACAGCCAUCUUCAGGAUAGGAAGACAGGAGCAUGUGUAGCGCUUCUAUUAAUUUGUCCUGCUGACAUUGUGAAGAAUAUUACACAAAGCGACAAACAACUGCCUAAUCCAAAAGAUUGAACAAUGAAAGAUUGAACCAUGAUAGUCAUAGUGUACAGAUGUUAUAAAGUAUCUUCAUGGCAUUUUAAAAUAAUAAGAAGAGCACACUACAUGACACAAAUAUUCUUAGUCAGUAAUGGGUGAAUGCAACAGUGUUUAUAUUAAGAACAUGCAUCCUUGAAGGUCAGCAAGACAGCAAAACUAUAGGCUUCACCUCAACAGAUAUACUAACAAAAUAUAAUUCAAAUUUAGACUGCAGCUGUUACAUGUCAAAAGCAUCUGUACUACCACUGCACCAUUGCUCCAACCAGACAAAUUCUUGGUAAAAAUCUAUGAAAAUAUUGUUUAUGCCCCUAUUAUGACUACCUUUGUGUUUGUGUUCAGUAGGAUUGAAUAAGCUGUUGCUUAGGAUAUCAGGAAUUACCCAGUAAAGGUUUGACACGUGAAGGCUAAUUAAUAAAUAAAAAAAAAAAAGCCAAAUUAUUUGUUUACCCUUUCUUCACUAGGCCACUGAAUUUCUUCCAUGGGCAGUUUAAUGAAAGUAGAUUCUAUGUUCUUCAUCCAGAUUUUCUUCGAUACAUUCGCAACAGAUUCAUGGCAUCCAACCAGCUGCAGGACAAAAACUGGGCAAUGUACAGACCAACCAAU